UGGGGAAUAUUGCACAAUGGAGGGAACUCUGAUGCAGCGACGCCGCGUGAACGAAGAAGGCUUUCGAGUCGUAAAGUUCUUUUAUAUGGGAAGAUAAUGACGGUACCAUAAGAAAAAGCCCCGGCUAACUACGUGCCAGCAGCCGCGGUAAUACGUAGGGGGCUAGCGUUGUCCGGAAUCACUGGGCGUAAAGGGUUCGCAGGCGGAAAUGCAAGUCAGGUGUAAAAGGCAGUAGCUUAACUACUGUAAGCAUUUGAAACUGCAUAUCUUGAGAAGAGUAGAGGUAAGUGGAAUUUUUAGUGUAGCGGUGAAAUGCGCAGAUAUAUGGAGGAACACCGGUGGCGAAAGCGGCUCUCUGGUCUGUAACUGACGCUGAGGCUCGAAAGCGUGGGGAGCGAACAGG
rnacentral:rRNA from 1 species